UACGGAGGGUGCAAGCGUUAAUCGGAAUUACUGGGCGUAAAGCGUACGUAGGCGGUUCGUUAAGUUAGAUGUGAAAGCCCCGGGCUUAACCUGGGAACUGCAUUUAAAACUGGCGAACUAGAGUUGAGUAGAGGGGAGUGGAAUUUCAGGUGUAGCGGUGAAAUGCGUAGAGAUCUGAAGGAACACCAGUGGCGAAGGCGGCUCCCUGGACUCAAACUGACGCUGAGGCCCGAAAGCGUGGGGAGCAAACAGGAUUAGAUACCCUAGUAGUCC
rnacentral:rRNA from 1 species